UGCGGGGUACAUCAGCGAUAGAUGGUCUGGCUCAUAACCAGAAGGUCACGGGUUCGAAACCCGUCCCCGCUACCA
rnacentral:tRNA from 1 species